AUUGAACGCUGGCGGCAGGCCUAACACAUGCAAGUCGAGCGGGGUUUUCGGACCUAGCGGCGGACGGGUGAGUAAUGCGUAGGAAGCUGCCCGAUAGAGGGGGAUACCAGUUGGAAACGACUGUUAAUACCGCAUAAUGUCUACGGACCAAAGUGUGGGACCUUCGGGCCACAUGCUAUCGGAUGCGCCUACGUGGGAUUAGCUAGUUGGUGAGGUAAUGGCUCACCAAGGCGACGAUCUCUAGCUGGUUUGAGAGGAUGAUCAGCCACACUGGAACUGAGACACGGUCCAGACUCCUACGGGGGGCAGCAGUGGGGAAUAUUGGACGAUGGGCGCAAGGCUGAUCCAGCCAUGCCGCGUGUGUGAAGAAGGCCUUCGGGUUGUAAAGCACUUUCAGCGAGGAGGAAGGGUGGUGUGUUAAUAGCACAUCAUUUUGACGUUACUCGCAGAAGAAGCACCGGCUAACUCUGUGCCAGCCGCCGCGGUAAAAC
rnacentral:rRNA from 1 species